rnacentral:misc_RNA from 1 species
CUGAGUUACCGCUCUACAACCCUUUGUGAACAUACCUAACUGUUGCUUCGGCGGGCAGAGGUUCCCUCGCGGAACCCCUCCCGGUGGCGCCCUCACGGGCGUCGCGCCCGCCGGAGGAUACCAAACUCUAUUUUAACGACGUUUCUUCUGAGUGGCACAAGCAAAUAAUUA